rnacentral:lncRNA from 1 species
UGUAUGGUGUGUGUGUGUUUGGAAGAGGAGUAAAGAAGAGUGCAAUGUGGCACUUGGGGAAAGGACAGAGAUGCUGCAGGGAGAUAUUUGCUGAUAUUUUUGCUUUGAGGGCUGCAGUGUAACCCUCUCCUAUCUUCUACUUUCAAGAAAAUAAAGUUUUCAGAGAGGCUUCACGGUUGACCAAGGGUCUGUGUGAGCUGGAAGUGCAGCCUGGGGCUGUGCCAUGGCAGAGUGACACCGGAGGAGCAGGGGAGGUUUGAACAUAAGGGUUUUACAGCACCAAGAAACCUUAGCUCCAUUAUCUUACACUUGGAGGUCUCUCACGGAUAAAUCAGCUGCUUUUCAAAAUAGAAGAGACUUAUGAAAAUGUAUCACUUGGCAGACAUAGAAAGCAGCUGCUUAUCAUCAUUAAUUUUCAAUAAAUAUGUAUUAAGCAACAGGAUAUAGAUCACUCUGUGAGGUUCAGGACCUUGGGAAAAUACAGUAUCCUAGAGACAGCAUUAACACAAGGCACGACUCAAGGCCGCUCCUGUCAUCUACACCCCUCCCGCUCUGCACGGCUGACUCAGAGCCUCCUGGCCUGCGGAGGAGCAAGAGGCACUGCACAGGCCACAGCGGGUUGUGAUCCAGGAGAGGCCAUUGGUUGGGGCGGGGGGAUGUUAAUUCCUCUGAGGUUGUGGGCAGGGGAGAUUUUCUUGGAGGACAUUCAUUUCCCAGUGGGGAGGGAAGAUUGAGACUAUAAUGUCUCUAGGGAAAUUUAAUAAUUAAGGAAGGUCCACAUGAUGGAACUGUGGGCCAUUUUCUAUUUCAGGCCUUAUGGUUAUUUUGCCUUUACCAUAGGGCGGUGCUUAUCACCAGCAAGACUGACCAACAAACCAGCUGUGGAGGGAAAUUGAGAGUGGGCUCCCUGCUGAAGACAGUAGACAUGGCCAUCAAUUAAUGUCCUGUUUUCUCCCGUGCAGAGCCUCUCAGGGCCAAAGCUGGAUUGUACCGGGCUGGGAAAACAAAAAAUAAAUACAUGGGGAGAGAAUGUUGAGGGGUGACUUGCUAACCAGUCAGUUGAAUUCCAGGCACAGAUUGAGUUGCUUCUGGAGUGGGCAGGGUCACUGUGAACGCCUACGUGAGCCUCUUCUGCACCACACAGCAGAAACUUAUUGAAAUUGGCAUCUUUGGGAGCUCGCUGUCAUCUCUUCACAAAACAUCCCCACGGAAAGCCAAACUUUCCCUUAGCAAGCGUGGCAACGUCCCAGAGUGCAGCCUGGAUCCCGUCAAGGAUAUCACAUGAUACUUCCUUGUCAUGUUUCCUUAGGCUCAUCUUGACUGUCCAUUUCUCAGACCUUCCUUGAUUUUGGUGACCUUGACAAUGUUGAGGAACAGUGGUCAGGUGAUUAGGACCUGAUGAAAUUAGGUCCCGGCACAGGGAGGUGGAUGAAAGUGAACUGAGAAGCAUCUGGACCACUUCUUCUUGCAUUUUGGUGCCUUCUGGACCUGCUCCCAUACGUACCCCUACCAUCAUCCAAUGGAUUGCUACAGCAUUCACUGAAUCUGAUGACUUGGCAAAUUCCAGGCUCCUUUGGAAGAAUGACAAUGCUACAGAAAAGCACAUGGAUUUGCAGCUUCGUGGACAUCACCUGUGAGGGUGACAGCUCUUUACUCUCAGUGAGUUCCCCAGAUGGAGGAAAGUGAAGCCAGGCUUACUGAGGAAAAAAAACAACCCUCAGAAAUCAAAAUCAGACAGCUAUACCCGGUCUGGCUGCCCCAGAGCGGGAAGACCUGAACCUUGGCAGGGCUGGCUGCUGUGCUGACCAGUCUGAUAUCAAGAAGAGAAGUGAUUUUCCGAUCCUGCAUCCGGUACAGCUGUGCGGACUCUGCUCUUCCUGCCAUUCCACCAAGAAAUUAAAAAGCAAUUUUCUUUUGAAGUUCUGGGGUUUUUUUGUUUUUUGUUUUUUUCAUUUAAGAUUACACUUUGAGGUCAGAAAAUGAGACAUAAGGAAUUCACAAACACACACGCAUUCGAUUCAGAAACAUUCCACCCUCCACAUCCCCAUUUUAAACUGUCCUGAGGCCCAGAUGGUUUACAGCUUGAGCCGGCUUAGGCUGGCAAGCAUUUCAGGGAUCUGGUUGACUACGUUUUCCUGAAACAGAGGUAUUUUAUGCAUUAAGCUGAUCAACACCGGGGAGAAUGGGGCACCCUAACUGCCUUUAAGUAAUAUCUUAUGAAGCUCUUUUAGGAUUAGCAGCAGAACAAAAUACACCCAGGAAUCAAGGGUAUAAAGCAAUGAAGAUUGUGUUUCACCUUGCAAUAUUGUGAGUAGUGUUGUUUAUUCAAGGCAGUGUUAAUUUUUAUAAUUUUUAAGCUUGUAUGUAUGUUUUUCUCCUCAGAUGAUUAUGGUCUGUAUCAGUUGCAGUUCAAGCAGGAAGUAGAAACCACACAGUAACUUAAACGGGGAAAGUUGAGUAUAAAGAAUUAAUAAGUAAAAUGUAGAACUGGAGUAACAAGGGAUUGGCUAGUGAGAAGUGAACUCUAAAGAAUACAAAGCAGCAGAUAGAGGGAGCCGCCACUCUCCGUCCCUGGAGCUGAGAUGGAUGCUCGUGGAAGGGCCCUCGCUUCCAGGGCUGAAAAGAUUCAGACAUGCCGAGAGGGCACAGCCAUAGCUCAGUGGGUGGCAGGGAAUUUUUGCAAGUGCUGUGGUGUUGCAACAGCAGAACUUGCUAGAAAUGGGCCUCUUUUCUUCAAAUCGAAGGAAAGACAUUUCCCCAAACUGAAGAGGACAAAAAUGAAGAAAUUCUUAGCCUUUCCCUCAAAUCAGGAGCCCCAUAGUUCUCAAGGUCAUUAUAUUGGUGAUGGGCUAUAUUAAUCACUUCUCAAAUUCAAUCGUAGUCUAACUCAUGUUUUCUGCAUAUAUUAUAAAAUGAAUU